rnacentral:rRNA from 1 species
GUAAGCGUGCGCAGGCGGCUUGCAAGACAGAUGUGAAAUCCCCGGGCUCAACCUGGGAACUGCAUUUGUGACUGCAAGGCUAGAGUACGGUAGAGGGGGAUGGAAUUCCGCGUGUAGCAGUGAAAUGCGUAGAUAUGCGGAGGAACACCAAUGGCGAAGGCAAUCCCCUGGACCUGUACUGACGCUCAUGCACGAAAGCGUGGGGAGCAAACAGGAUUAGAUACCCGUGU